AGAUACGAGAAGUGCCACGAUCUU
rnacentral:siRNA from 1 species